rnacentral:rRNA from 1 species
UACGUAGGGUGCAAGCGUUAAUCGGAAUUACUGGGCGUAAAGCGUGCGCAGGCGGCUUUGCAAGACAGAUGUGAAAUCCCCGGGCUCAACCUGGGAAUGGCAUUUGGGACUGCAAGGCUUGAGUGCGGCAGAGGAGACUGGAAUUCCUGGUGUAGCAGUGAAAUGCGUAGAUAUCAGGAGGAAUACCGAUGGCGAGGGCAGGUCUCUGGGCUGACACUGACGCUCAUGCACGAAAGCGUGGGGAGCAAACAGG